rnacentral:tRNA from 1 species
GAGGGUAUAGCUUAGUGAUAAAGUGCAUGCUUAGCAUGCAUGACGUCCUGGGUUCAAGCCCCAGUAUCUCCA